UGGGAAGGCAGAGAGCAGAGAGAUUCCCCCCAGCAGGACCCUCAUCCGUGUUGUGUCCAUGAGCAGACUCACCCCAGUGCUGCUCUCGUCCUUGUGCUCUCCCGGUAUGGCUCCCAACAGUUUCCAUGCGGCAGGCAAGUGCACAGGCUGAUUCCUUCCAGCAGAUGGUAGCAGGAGUAAACAAGGGGAUGGGCAUCCUCACUGGGAUCCCCGGCUGGACCCCGCAGUGUUGCUCCUCAUGUCCAGAGAGAAUGGCUGCUGAGAAAGCAGCACCCAGAGCCAAGGCACCAAGGGGUGCUGCGGCCCUUCCUUAUUGACAAGGCCAUGGACACCGUGAGUUUAAUGAAGGACUCCCCAUUCCUACAGUGAAUUCAGACACGGAAUGUGACAGCAGCGAGCAACGGAGCUAAGAGGAAGGAGAGAAAGAGAGAGAGGAAAUCCAGCCAACAAGAGCCGUCUGUGUCAAUCCUGGCAAACGGGAGUGUAUGUCUGAAUCAAAUGCCAGUGGAAGAAGGAGGAGGGAGGCCAUGGGCUCCUCCAUCCCUGCUGAUGGAUGAGAGUGAAGGCAUUUGGCUCCAGUCUCUUGACUCUUGCAGAUGGUCCUCCCUGAAAACUCCAGUGGUCCCUCUGCCAGCCAGCAAAAGCUGCCCAUUCUGGACUCCCAGGCACUGGUGAAAAUGGCUGAUACUCCUCAUGCUCACAAAGGAAAACUUUGCCAGCUUAGCAAGGCACAGGAACAACUCUGAGUGCUUUGGAGAGUCUCUGCUCCCUCUGGAUGCUGGAUGGACAGACAGACAGACUCUCAGCAAAUCUCCAGUCCCUCUUGGACUAAGCCAAGAGAAUGUGAAGUGUUUCUCCUUCCUCUCAUCUCUGCUCAACACAGAAGGCUUUAUACCUAAUUCUCAAUGGGGGAAUUUUUUUGGUGAUGGAAAAUGUCGUCAAUUAUUUUUUGCCAAGAGGGAAAAGCAAAGCUUGAAAAGACUAAUAGCAAAUACAAGAUUGCUUUCAAAUUUUUGGGCUUUGAUUUUUUUUAAAUAAAAACCUGCAAAUGUU